UCCUGAGUCAUCGCUUUGGGCUGGGGCCAGGGGAAGGAGGUGCCCUCAGCCUUCCUCAUUCAGGAAGGCCUGGGAAAGGCAGAGAAGAGCCAGGACAGGGGCUGCCGGUGGCAGGUAAUGCCCGGAACCGGCCUGAUCCCCACCCUUCCAGGUGGGCUCUGGCUGGCCCGAGGGCCCUGGUGCAUUCAUGUCAGCCAGCAGACCCUUAGGAAAGUCUUUGGAGUUCCUGGGACAGGAGGGGUGUUAGGCACAGAGGGAGGAGAGAGGCGGGCGAGGAGAGGAGAGGCGGGGCCAGCUCUAAGUUUCACUUCCUGUCACUGCUGAAGCAGCAACCCAGCCCCAGUGUGUGGUGUGUGGCCCAGCCCAGCUGCUGCUGCUCUGCUGCUGCUCCGCAGGUACCCCAUGAUGGGCUCACAGACCCCACCCCCAGAGCUUGUGCAGACCCUUAUCUUCUUGGACCUGGAGGCCACCGGACUGCCCUUCUCCCAGCCCAAGAUCACAGAGCUGUGCCUGCUUGCUGUCCACAGAUGUGCCCUGGAGAGCCCCUCCACUUCCCAGAGUCCAGUGCCCCCACCACCCCGUGUGGUGGACAAGCUCUCCCUAUGUGUGGCCCCGGGAAAGGCAUGUAGCCCCACAGCCAGCAAGAUCACAGGCUUGAGCACAGCUGUGCUGCAAGCGCAUGGACGUCAGCUCUUCGAUGACAACCUGGCCAGCCUGCUCCUUGCUUUCCUGCGGCGCCAGCCAGCACCCUGGUGCCUCGUGGCACACAAUGGUGACGGCUAUGACUUUCCCCUGCUGCAGGCAGAGCUGGCCAUGCUGGGCCGUGCCAGCAUCCUGGACAGAGCCUUCUGUGUGGACAGUAUGGCUGCCCUCAAGGCCCUAGAACAAGCUGAGAGCCCCUCGGUGCACAGCCCGAGGAAGAGCUACAGCCUGGGCAACAUCUACACACGCCUGUACGGGCAGGAGCCGCCAGACUCCCACACAGCUGAGGGCGACGUCCUGGCCCUGCUCAGCAUCUGCCAGUGGAGGCCCCAGGCUCUGCUGCGCUGGGUGGAUGCUCACGCCAGACCCUUCAGCACUGUCAAGCCCAUGUAUGAGGCCACUGCUUCUCUGAGGACCAGCCUGCAGCCAUCUGCUGGUGCAACCAUGACACGCCUACGUGCUGCCAAGAACACCAGUGCCAGCCCCAGCAGGAGCAAGAGAUCCACAGCUCUUCCUACACCCAAGGACCCUGGAGACCUGCCCAGAGGAGCCCACAGUGGGGCAGGGGCUGGUGGGCAUGCUUACGGCGUGGCCGGCGGCACAUCUUGUACAAGCAGCAACAGGAACAGGUGAAGCAGACGAUGAUGGUGACCACGGAGAGCACAAAGAUGGUCAGGCCAACGGCCACAGUCGCUCCAAACCUGCCCGAGAGCCAGUGCUGAGCCAGGGCCGCCCACCCCACCCUGGGGCCAGGUGCCCAGCCUCACCCCUUCCCAGGAGCCAGCGCCUCACUGAAGCUGACAAUCAAAGAAGAAAAGAGAACCCUGCCAUUUGCCUCAUCAGACAGUAAAACUUUCAACAAAGAAAACAAAGUUUUCAUUAAAACUACAGCCACCACACCCUACUAGGCCCAGCAGCCUGGCAGGAGUGGGACAACUCCCUCCUCCAGCUCAGCCUCAGCCCUCUUCCCUUCAGUACCCAGGAGCCCAGGGCUGCCUCCCACCCGUAGUCUCCUGCCAGGGCCUGGUGGGCAGGUGCUUGUCUUCCCCCAUCUCCACCUUCAACUAGUUAUUCCUGUUCACCCCCAGACCUCUACUGGAAGCGUCACUCCCUCUAGGACAACUUUCCUGAGCUUGACCUACCUGGUGGUUGUUCCCAUUGCUGGGCCAGAGUGGGGGUGCGGCAGGUGAAGCCACAGUUGGGGAAGCCUGUUGUCCCAUCAGAGUGCUGGUCAGGUCCAGGCUGCUCCACUUCCAGCCCAGCUUCCUGACAGUGCACCUGGGGAAGCACUGUGAUGCUCCUAGCUCAAG